UGGGGAAUCUUGCACAAUGGGGGCAACCCUGAUGCAGCGACGCCGCGUGAGCGAUGAAGGUUUUCGAAUCGUAAAGCUCUGUCCUAUGGGAAGAUAAUGACGGUACCAUAGGAGGAAGCCCCGGCUAACUGCGUGCCAGCAGCCGCGGUAAUACGUAGGGGGCGAGCGUUGUCCGGAAUUACUGGGCGUAAAGGGUUCGCAGGCGGCAUGGCAAGUCCGAUGUAAAAGGCGAAGGCUCAACCUUCGUAAGCAUCGGAAACUGUCAAGCUUGAGUGAAGGAGAGGCAAGUGGAAUUCCUAGUGUAGCGGUGGAAUGCGUAGAUAUUAGGAGGAAUACCGGUGGCGAAGGCGACUUGCUGGACUUCAACUGACGCUGAGGAACGAAAGCGUGGGUAGCAAACAGG
rnacentral:rRNA from 1 species